GGAGAGAGAGGUCAGCAAUGCUGUGCAGUGAGGAGAGAGAGGUCAGCAUUGCUGUGCAGUGAGGAGAGAGAGGUCAGCCAUGCUGUGCAGCUGAGGAGAGAGGUCAGCUGUGCUGUGCAGCUGAGGAGAGAGAAGUCAGCCAUGCUGUGCAGCUGAGGAGAGAGUGCUGUGCAGUGAGGAGAGAGAGGUCAGCAUUGCUGUGCAGUGAGGAGAGAGAGGUCAGCCAUGCUGUGCAGCUGAGGAGAGAGGUCAGCUGUGCUGUGCAGCUGAGGAGAGAGAAGUCAGCCAUGCUGUGCAGCUGAGGAGAGAGUGCUGUGCAGUGAGGAGAGAGAGGUCAGCAUUGCUGUGCAGUGAGGAGAGAGAGGUCAGCCAUGCUGUGCAGCUGAGGAGAGAGGUCAGCUGUGCUGUGCAGCUGCGGAGAGAGAAGUCAGCCAUGCUGUGCAGCUGAGGAGAGAGUGCUGUGCAGUGAGGAGAGAGAGGUCAGCAUUGCUGUGCAGUGAGGAGAGAGAGGUCAGCCAUGCUGUGCAGCUGAGGAGAGAGGUCAGCUGUGCUGUGCAGCUGAGGAGAGAGAAGUCAGCCAUGCUGUGCAGCUGAGGAGAGAGUGCUGUGCAGUGAGGAGAGAGAGGUCAGCAGUGCUGUGCAGUGAGGAGAGAGAGGUCAGCAUUGCUGUGCAGUGAGGAGAGAGAGGUCAGCCAUGCUGUGCAGCUAAGGAGAGAGGUCAGCAAUGCUGUGCAGCUGAGGAGGUAAAGGUUGAGGACUUAGGGAUGGAUGGAGAGGUGACCAACCAAUGGCCUCCAAGGUGAGACUUCAGUGGAGACAAAAACUGGAGCUGGGUGUUCACAGAGGAGAAGGUAGACGCCGCUCCAGCUUUCUGCCGUGUGAGGAGGGAACAAAGGGAGGGUGGUGGCUUCGUGAGCAUCUGAGGUUAGGAUAUUACCUCAGGCGGAGUGUUUAUUCUUGUCCUGUGGAAGGGUCCAACCUGUGUAAGCUGGUCACCAUCAGCUCCAUCGUCCUUCUUGCCUGGCUGUGCUCCAGGCCCUUUUGGAGCCUCUUCAGCUUCACCUGCCCUGGCAGUUUACUGGGAGUGGAGGAGGAAGAGGUCUGCUGGGGGUGACCUGGUUUCUUGACUGAAAGCCCUUUGGAAGUUCCCUAGGAAAUGUCUGCCAGUGACGUUCCGUAACACUGCUGGUAUCUACAGAAGUGGAGUGCGGGGCUGUGGGUGUGGGGGAAAAAGGGGAGUGGGAGAGAACCCACAUUCCACCAGAGUUCCUGUGCUCUGGGCAGGUGGACUCGGGAGGAGUGUGCACACUUUCCACGUGGCCCCGGGUGGGCAUCAGGCUGUGUUAAGCCACUGACCCCACACGGUGGGUGGUGGACAAAGGGCAGUCCCAGGUACCAGGUUCUCAAUCUCCAGCAUCCCAUGCUGGAUACUGCGGGGGAGCUGAGAGCAGAAUAGGGGCCCUGGGGUGGCACUUGGCCCCAGGGAGGAAAAGAAGAGAGGGCAGGGAGAAAGGAGGGAAGGUAGAAAGAGAGAGGCUGGCCACGGCCACGU